rnacentral:rRNA from 1 species
UACGGAGGGGACUAGCGUUGUUCGGACUUACUGGGCGUAAAGCGCACGUAGGCGGAUUUGUAAGUUAGGGGUGAAAUCCCGGGGCUCAACCUCGGAACUGCCCUUGAUACUGCAAAUCUCGAGUCCGGAAGAGGUGAGUGGAAUUCCUAGUGUAGAGGUGAAAGGCGUAGAUAUGAGGAAGAACACCAGUGGCGAAGGCGGCUCACUGGGCCGGUACUGACGCUGAGGUGCGAAAGCGUGGGGAGCAAACAGG